CCUACGGGAGGCAGCAGUGGGGAAUAUUGCACAAUGUGGGAAACCCUGAUGCAGCGACGCCGCGUGAGUGAAGAAGUAUCUCGGUACGUAAAGCUCUAUCAGCAGGGAAGAAAAUGACGGUACCUGACUAAUAAGCCCCGGCUAACUACGUGCCAGGGGCCGCGGUAAUACGUAGGGGGCAAGCGUGAUCCGGAGUUACUGGGUGUAAAGGUAGCGUAUACGGCAGCACAAGUCUGGAGUGAAAUCCCGGGGCUUAACCCCGGAACUGCUUUGGACACUGUGAGGCUGGAGUGCAGGAGAGGUAAGCGGAAUUCCUAGUGUAGCGGUGAAAUGCGUAGAUAUUAGGAGGAACACCGGUGGCGAAGGCGGCUUACUGGACUGUAACUGACGUUGAGGCUCGAAAGCGUGGGGAGCAAACAGGAUUAGAUACCCCUGUAGUC
rnacentral:rRNA from 1 species